GUGACGUGUUCAUUUUAUUGUAAAUAAAAUGCACGGUUUGACCAGCGUUGCCAAGUUACCGACUUUGCACCCGCUUCGAAUGUUAUCAGUCCAUUAAAUGAACGUUAUUAGCAGUUUUCAGGCCCAUAGUUAAGAGCCAGUAGGUGCCGUCUCCACCUCCUAGCUGGUCGAAAAAGUUAUCAUCGUUCUAAUCAAGGAUUACUGACAGACGCAUGAAGGACUACAGAAUCCAUGCUCGCUGACUUCCGGCGGAAGUCGCAGUGCUUACAGGUGUGGGAACAGUGGUUCAGAGGGUGCACUUCAGGACUGUUAAAUGAAGUUGGUGAGAUGUACUGGAUUCAUCCCUGUGCAAAGAUAUCUACAGAUUACUGGACUGACCACAUCAACCUUUUGUGAGGUCUGUCUAAAGAAGACUAACAACAAUUCAGUGCAGCAUCCUGAGAAGAUGGAUGUGAGGACAGAAGCACACAAACAUGUAGUUGCAGUGAGCUGCCAGUAAUUAUAAAUGGAUUUGUUCCUCUAACUCAUGUCUGUCUCUCUAUUAGACCUGUGACACAUUGGUGACCUGUCCAGGGUGAACCUGCCUGUGCCUGCUGGGAUAGGCUCCAGCCCUCCACCCACACCCUGACAAUCAGAUGUGGACAGACUAACUUCUUUUUUAGAUUGUUCUAAAAGUCUGUUGCGAUGUGUUAAGCAAUGUAUUCAUAUUUAAUUUAAAAAAAGAAUCAAUGAUUUUCUAUAAAUUUGUGAUGCAUUUUUGUUUACUGAUUCCAAGAUGGCGUAGUGGUCUUUAGAGAAAUCCUGUUUGGAUUUUUAAAUGUUAUUUCUGUUUUCUGUUGCUAGCGCAGCUCUGCAGUCACUAUCCAGGUGGGUCAGUGGGAGCAGAAGCCCUCUGCUGAUGUACAGGCUCUGAUCAGCAACAUCCAGCAAGACCCACACAGCCUCUUCUUGCUGGAGCUUUUUGUUUGCCUGUGACUGGAGAGUCAGAUUUCUGUUGGGAGGUUGCAGCUCCCUGUGCUGGAGAAACCACUUCACACCUGCAGAGGUGGACCGUGAUGUGAUUGUGACCCGGGCUGCCACCUUUGGUCUUGUGAGGAAGCAAAGCUCAGAAAGAAGGAAUCCCUGCAGUCCUGUUCUUUUAGCUCCAAGCCUGCUCAGCUUUAAUCACAGAGGAAGCAGCAGAGCAGCAGACAGUUUGAGAGGUUUGGGCUCACAGAUGGUGACAGCAUGGAGAGACUGUGGUCCUUCCCCUGAAGAACUGCAGGAGUCACAGAGGAGAUGACUCCAUCUCACUGUCUGGACUUGCUGACUGAUGUUCUUCUGCACUGCAGAUGCUGAGUAUGACCUCAGAGGCCAGCUGGUCUGCAGAGUUACAAGUGAAUCAAGGCGGAGGGCAGUCUGCCUGCAGCUGCAAAGAAUACAUCCAGGUGAAGACUCAGAUGGGCAGGAUCUCAGCAUCAGACUGUCCAAACAGGCUCCAGCUUCAACAGCAGACUGAGACAGCCAACAAGAGAAAACAGCACCUUCAGUGGGCUCCACAGGUCAAAGGUGACGUUUUAAAGAGUCUUCAGAGAGUAGGGACUGAUGUCAUGUAUCGAUCACAACGAUAAUGAAGAUGACAGCGAGAGCAGCUACGACUGUAAAAGUCUGACCACGACUGUUUUGCACUUGUUUUACAAACAAAAUUCAACAAACUCAGUUUAACUGAAAAAACUGCAUUUUUACAGGCCACACUCACUGCACAUAAGAAAAGAAUAAUUUAAUCACUGAUGACUUAGUGACUUUAUAAAAGCUUUAAGUAGAGCCAGCUUUGAAUAUUAACACUUACCAUAUUGUACCUGUACAGCGUGUUUAUGUACAUAUAUGAUGCAUGAGAUGUUUUGCAUGUUGAGGUCAUUUCCUGAUUUAUUUUGUAAUCUUUGUUGGUUUUCUCUUCUUUGGAACUGAUUGUGAGUCAGUGUGUAACCUCACCUGCUUCCCUUUGUUCCACAUGACUUUAAGUUUUUUUAUUUCUGUUUACUUAAAUUUCUGUUUCAUUUUGAUCUGUGUUGUGUGACUCUUGCAGACUGUUUUGUGGACUGCUUGCCUCGCUGUGUAUACACUGUCUGUUUUUGAAUAAAGAUUUGGAUUUUUGACUUUUA